rnacentral:lncRNA from 1 species
AAGUGACACCUCCUCUAGGAAGCCUUCUUUGAUCACCCCAACCUCUCCCAGACCUCUAAUGUGGACCCCACAGUCCCUGGACUUCUUUGAGACCACACUAGCCCACUCCCCGCCCCCUCCUGGAACCUUGAGCUUCUGGAGAGCUGGGGCCACACCGUCCUCCUGUGGUUUUCCGAGCCGGUGCAGGUGGUCAGCAGAUAACCUUGAGUGAAUGUGAAUCUAAAAAAAGUAAUAAAGGGAUCUGGCACACUUAACUUUUAAAUCUAAAUAUGUUUCUUUUAAAUUCUAUGAUUGUUCUGGGUCUUGAGAGCAGACCUCCCCAACAAUUCGGUCUCCCAUAUGGGGUCACAGCCGUUUGGGUUUCCGAUCGCGGGCACGGCACCCAUCUGCGGUGUCUGUGAAGCCGGCGCGUUCUGCCGGGGGUUUGGGUUUUUUUGUGUGUGUGAUAGAUCUUUUUAGCUUAGAUACGUUUCUUAAAGCUUCUCUUUGUUUAAAAAUGCGCAGGAAAACUUCGGCGUCGUUCUAUUUUUGUCCUUUUUAACACCUACCCCUGAUUUUUCCUUCUUUUUUUAUUUCCUUGCAGACUUUGAAUUUUAAACAGAUAAAAAUGGAUGCUGUUUCCAUCGUUUGGUGUCCUGCUUUUCUACGUAGAGGAAACAUUUCUCAGCACAAUUAAAACGUGUUCGUAUGCUUAUUAAUGUCUUUGUAGGAUUUCAUCCUGUGAAUCAUUUGCUUGUCCAGCAAUAAGGAAAUGGCUUUUUGCGUCUGCGUUUUGAUGAUGGAAUUCCCCAUGGGCUUCAGAGUGCGGUGCCUGCCUUUCAGAUGAUUUCCUUAGGACCGAGUUCCUGGGACUUGCUGCUUCAUGACCAGCGUCUCGGGCCCCUGUCAGCUCUGGCCUGUCCUCCCUGGGGUGAUGGCCCUGCCGGGAGCCGUCUGUCCUUGGCAGAUGGAGUUCACUGUUAGUGAGAGCCCAGCCUCUGUUUUACAAACGAGCAUGCUCCAAGCAGUGGCUGAUGGGCGGUUGGAAUUCACCAUGGCUCUGGCCUCUGGUUCCUGUAAAUUGAGGCGUAGGAAAAUUAGUCCUCCCCGGGUCCUCUGGUUUACAGAAUGCGGGGAUGUCCAGGUUUCUCCUGUCCUCCUCAUCCCUGCACUGGUUCCACGGGACUGGCUGGACACAGCGUCACUGGUUCCCAGCACAGCUGACACCCCUUCCAGGAACCUUCUCACUAUCCCCGGGGCAGAGGUGGCCUUCCGGGCAUGCGUGCUCCUCUCCCGUCUCCUCUGCAGCUUCCUUUUAGUCCAGUGGUGUUUCAGGUGUCUUGCUCUUACUGGAGCUCCUUAAGGACAGGGCCUAGAUCUCAGUCAUCCCCAAUCCCCAGCUAACCCCAGCUCAUGUUCCUGAUUGGCCCUGGGACACUAGCAGAACGUGACUUGGUUCUGUUCACUAGUGCCAUAUAGAGUCAGGUUCCUGGAGCUGGUGUGAGAGUGGGAGGUUUGAAUCUUCAUGGGCAGGGGCUACAUUGUGUCAGGCUCUGAGCUUGGCAUUUUCCAUGUGAAAGGAGACAAGGGCUCCAGGAGAAAUGGCCUGUAUUUGCUGGGGUGUAGGGGCGGGCCACAUGCCACUGAGCUUUAGAAGCCUGCUGGGUUAGGAAUCAGCACACAGCCUGGAUCAGUGAAAAUACAGGAACAAGAAGAUAAUAGGAGAGUUUGUGCUGUAAGGCAGGUGUUUACAGUUUGAUUUUUCUUGAGUGAGUAGAAAUGUUGGCGUAGCUUGAAAAAAAAUCUGAAAUAAUUCACUGUCCACGGAAAGGGCUGGAAAGGAGUUAUCUUAAAUUCACAUAGAUUAAAGAAAGCAUAGCUGGUCGUGGUGGCUCACGCCUGUAAUCCCAGCACUUUGGGAGGCUGAGGUGGGCGGAUCACCUGAGGUUUGGAGUUCGAGACCAGCCUGACCAACAUGGAGAAACCCCGUCUCUACUAAAAAUGCAAAAUUAGCCGAGCGUGGUGGCAACGCGCCUGUAAUCCCAGCUACUCAGGAGGCUGAGGCAGGAGAAUCGCUUGAACCCGGGAGGCGGAGGUUGCGGUGAGCCGAGAUCGCGCCAUUGCGCUCCAGCCUGGGCAACUAGAGCAAAACUGCGUCUC